AACGAACGCUGGCGGCAGGCUUAACACAUGCAAGUCGAACGAUGAAGCUAGAGCUUGCUCUGGUGGAUUAGUGGCGAACGGGUGAGUAACACGUGAGUAACCUGCCCCGAACUCUGGGAUAACUGCUGGAAACGGUAGCUAAUACCGGGUAUGACCAAUGAAGGCAUCUUCUGUUGGUGGAAAGAAUUUCGGUUCGGGAUGGACUCGCGGCCUAUCAGCUUGUUGGUGAGGUAACGGCUCACCAAGGCGACGACGGGUAGCCGGCCUGAGAGGGUGAUCGGCCACACUGGGACCGAGACACGGCCCAGACUCCUACGGGAGGCAGCAGUGGGGAAUAUUGCACAAUGGGCGCAAGCCUGAUGCAGCAACGCCGCGUGAGGGAUGACGGCCUUCGGGUUGUAAACCUCUUUUAGCAGGGAAGAAGCGAAAGUGACGGUACCUGCAGAAAAAGCACCGGCUAACUACGUGCCAGCCGCCGCAGUAA
rnacentral:rRNA from 1 species